rnacentral:rRNA from 1 species
UUAAUUGAAGAGUUUGAUCAUGGCUCAGAUUGAACGCUGGCGGCAGGCCUAACACAUGCAAGUCGAGCGGCAGCGACUUAACUGAACCUUCGGGGGACGUUAAGGGCGGCGAGCGGCGGACGGGUGAGUAAUGCCUGGGAAUAUGCCCUGAUGUGGGGGAUAACUAUUGGAAACGAUAGCUAAUACCGCAUAAUCUCUUCGGAGCAAAGAGGGGGACCUUCGG